UCAACUAGACGUUGAACUGAUGUCAAUGCCCAGUGGGAGACCACUGUUCAUUAUUCCAUUAGUUCGCAAAGAGGCAGGAGCGAUUAGAGCUCAGUCAAAUCAAGAAUAUAUGCGUUCUGAGUUUUGAUCAAUGCUGGGAAUAAUAUUUAGAUGUUGACCUGUAAAAAACUUUCUUUACUGUGUACAUGUUUAUUUUUUUCAAACUAGAAAACAUUAUAGAGGUCCGGAUCUCGGUGUCUUCAUAUGUAGCUACAGCCCUGGAUAGAGAGCAGGCUAGACAGUUAGACUGGUAGACUAUAUUGACAUGUGGUAAAGUUAGCGCCCGGGAAGGUUUAGUGAAUAAGUACCAAAGCACCUUGAGAUAGGGGAGAUGCAUGGAAGCAGAUGGGGAAACGUGGCUAGGAUGGAAGAAAUUAUGUAGCAAAAUUCCAAUACGUUUUGAACUGUCCCUAACCUCAAAUCUUUCAGUGUGUUUCAGUGUACCCGGUGUGUGCUAUGGAGAGUCCUAAGAGGAGAAUGGCCUUUAAGAAGCUGAAAGGGAGGUGCAUCGCUGAGCUGCUGCCCUUGGGCUGUACCUCCAUCGCUUAGCCAGCCCCCAGACGGAAGCCAACCACAAGGUGUCUCAGGCUGCCAGCAACUGUCUCAGGACCAAGGUGUCCUUCAGGACCAAGGCUGUAGUCUACUACACGGAAAUCCUGAGGAACAGCGAUGUCCAGCUCCAGCAGACUGCCUGUCUGGCCCUCAAGUGUCUCAAAGCGAUGGAGAGCGUGGAGCAGGAGGUUGAGUUGUGGUGGUCAUCUGACGAGGACCUGCGCAGUGCUGUUAGAGAGACCGUGCUAUCAUAUGGUAAUCAUUCAGCCCUGUUCAUUUGCAUGCAAUUACAUUACUAGAUAAGUUCCCCCAGGUAUUCAUUAUGAUUUAAAGGGUAGGUAGCAUAAACCUAACCACCUGUAACAUAUGGUUUUGCAUUAGUAUACACAUCAAAAGUCCCAAUGCAAAGUUACCUCACUUUUCUAUCUUUCAUGUCGAAAAAUAUUUGUCCUGGGUGUGAUGCAAUAUGGAGGACCCGGUAAGCCAGCCAAUUCCCUACAAUGUAAGCUUCAACAGAAAUAACUUCAAAUUAAACCAAAUAAUUUGCACUCAUGACUACUGGUUUAACUUGCAAGGUUGCUAGGCAACUAUUUGCCAUCGCACUGCACACUGCCUUAUCCCAUCUGGACAAGAGGAAUAACUAUGUACGAAUGCUGUUCACUGAUUACAGUUCAGACCUUUAACACCAUAGUACCCGACAAGCUCAUCAUUAAUCUCGAGGCCCUGGAUCUGAACCCCGCCCUGUGCAACUGGGUCCUGGACUUCCUGACAGGCCGCCCCAGGUGGUGAA